ACUGUAGCGCAAUGGAUAACCCGUUGGACUUGUAAUCCAAAGGUCAUGGGUUCGAAUCCCACCUGAGAUG
rnacentral:tRNA from 1 species